GACGAACGCUGGCGGCGCGCUUAACACAUGCAAGUCGAGCGAGAACCAGGGCUUCGGCCCUGGGGACAGCGGCGAACGGGUGAGUAACACGUGGGUAAUCCACCCUCGGCACCGGAAUAGCCCGGGGAAACCCGGAUUAAUGCCGGAUGGCCCGCCGGCCCUGCGGGGCUGGCGGAACAGGUAGCUUCGGCCUCCGGCCGAGGACGAGCCCGCGACGGAUUAGCUUGUUGGUGGGGUAACGGCCUACCAAGGCUGCGAUCCGUAGCUGGUCUGAGAGGACGAUCAGCCACACUGGGACUGAGACACGGCCCAGACUCCUACGGGAGGCAGCAGUGGGGAAUCUUGCGCAAUGGGCGAAAGCCUGACGCAGCGACGCCGCGUGAGGGAAGAAGGCCUUCGGGUUGUAAACCUCUUUCAGGAGGGACGAAGCCACUCGGGUUAAUAGCCCAGAGGGUGACGGUACCUCCAGAAGAAGCCCCGGCUAACUACGUGCCAGCCGCCGCAGUAA
rnacentral:rRNA from 1 species